CCUACGGGAGGCAGCAGUGAGGAAUAUUGGUCAAUGGCCGUAAGGCUGAACCAGCCAAGUCGCGUGAAGGAAGAAGGAUCUAUGGUUUGUAAACUUCUUUUAUAGGGGAAUAAAGGUAUCCACGUGUGGAUAUUUGCAUGUACCCUAUGAAUAAGCAUCGGCUAACUCCGUGCCAGCAGCCGCGGUAAUACGGAGGAUGCGAGCGUUUUCCGGAUUUAUUGGGUUUAAAGGGUGCGUAGGUUGUUUUUUAAGUCAGCGGUGAAAGUUUGUGGCUCAACCAUAAAAUUGCCGUUGAAACUGGAAGACGUGAGUGUGUUUGAGGUAGGCGGAAUGCGUGGUGUAGCGGUGAAAUGCAUAGAUAUCACGCAGAACUCCGAUUGCGAAGGCAGCUUACUAAGCCAUAACUGACACUGAAGCACGAAAGCGUGGGGAUCAAACAGGAUUAGAUACCCUUGUAGUC
rnacentral:rRNA from 1 species